AUAUAAAAUAACAAUAAGACACCAAAAAAAAAAGGGAAAAACCCCAUUUCUUUAGGGUUUAUUCGAGCUGUCCGUGACUUACGCGAUUUCAUAGAGGAGCUGUUUUGAAACAUCUCCAGUUAACGGUUUGAACAACAACAACAACAACAACUAAAAAAUGAGUCAAAUCAAUCUACCAUUUGAAGUUGGUCAUACUGUAGAGUUAAGAUCUUUUGAAUCGGGGUAUCGUGGAGCUUGGUUUCGAUGCAAGCAUUCUGAAGAUAUUCCAUAAAAGGACAGCACUAUGCUAUGAUGUGGAGUAUCUUGAUUAUCCCGGAGAGAGAAUACAUACAACAAAAGUGUUUCAGCAACUCGAUAGUGGGAGCGAGAAUUACCUAAUGAUUCGACCUGUGUUUCCAAGAAAGUUUCGUGAAGAUCAAGUCCUUAACGAGGAGGGUGGUCUGGAAGAAGCUCUUGUUGUUCAUGAUUCUUGGAAGGUUGGUGAUUUGGUCGACUGGUGGGAAGACUAUUGUUAUUGGUCUGGGACGGUUCUUCGAAGUCAGGGAAAAUGAGUCGCUACAGAUUGAAUUUGUUGGCUCCACCGUAUGGCGAAGGGUGUAUCUAUGAGGCUCUGUCUAAGGAUGUGCGUCCAUCAUUGGAAUGGUCACUUGAAGAUGGUUGGACUGUGCCUUUUUCUAAGGUUGGGGAAAAGAGGCAAUGUGCUAAGCUAAUGAAACAUUUGAAUGAAGUUACAUUAAAUGAAGUUAGUGGAGCUGAAUCUAUGGAAGACGAAAAGCAGGGACCUUCAGAUGAAGUAAGUGGAGCUGAAUCUAUGGAAGACGAAAAGCAGGGACCUUCAGAUGAAGUUAGUGGAGCCGAAUCUAAAGAUGAAGAAAAGCAGAGAGCCACAGAAAAGGUUAUUAGCGAUGGUGAUCUUCGGUUGAACAUCAUGGAAUCAGAGUCUGUGGAAGCUGCUGUCAUGGACUUGGAAGAGCUCAUUGUUCGUUUCGAGUGGCUGAAAGGCAAGUUAGGUCCUAAAUCUUCAGAAAAAGCUUCCUGGGUAUAUGAGGACUACCGUCCAUCCUCCUCAAGAAAGUGACAGGUUCUGAACAUAACAUACUAAAAAGUUCUCCUCUAGAUCAGAGUUUUGUACAAGUGGAGUAUAUUGAGUAGAAGAUGUAAAUGAGCAAAAGUCCUCAGGUGGAGAAGACUGGAAACUGAACAUAACUCUUUGUUUUUGAAAUGUCUGUCUUUUAGCAUAAAUAUCAACAGAACAUGAAGUUUUGGACCAAAACAAGAGUGAUAGAAUAUUACAUUCAUCAAAGACCAAUGAAACUAUUGAGUAUUGGAAAUUUCACUCACAAGAUUGUUUGCUAUUAAGGUAAUAAACUAUAAACUAUCUAAAAGACAGCGAUAAAGACUAACAAUGUAGUCUCGUGAUUCAUCACGGCCUAAUAAUCCAGAUCAUUCAACGAGUUUACUUUCGUCCUACAACUUCUGUUAUUCUCUAUGUUAAUGAAUGGAGACUUAGUAUCAUGUAACCGAGAACAAGAUAAGGUGAAAGAUGGAGAGACUAGACUCUUGUAAGCGACAGAGCUUAAUAUCGUAGCCUAAUAUGUUAGUGGUAAGUUGUUGGAAAUCAUUGCUAAGACAUAGAUUUAUAAAAUACUCAUAUCAAUCUUUGUUUCUA